GGCCCCAUCGUUUAGCGGCCUAGGACGUCGCCCUUUCACGGCGGUAGCACGGGUUCGAAUCCCGUUGGGGGUG
rnacentral:tRNA from 1 species